CCCUUAGAUGUCCGGGGCCGCACGCGCGCUACACUGAAGGAAUCAGCGUGGCUUUCUCCCUGACCCGAAAGGGUUGGGAAACCCGUUGAAUCUCCUUCGUGAUAGGGAUUGGGGCUUGAAAUUGUUCCCCAUGAACGAGGAAUUCCCAGUAAGCGCGAGUCAUAAGCUCGCGUUGAUUACGUCCCUGUCCUUUGUACACACCGCCCGUCGCUACUACCGAUUGAACGGUUUAGUGAGGGCCUCGGAUUGGUCUCGGCCCGCUCUUUACCGGGCGGCGCCGUUGGUCGAGAAGACGCUCGAACUUGAUCGUUUAGAGGAAGUAAAAGUCGUAACA
rnacentral:rRNA from 1 species